rnacentral:rRNA from 1 species
UACGAAGGGGGCUAGCGUUGCUCGGAAUUACUGGGCGUAAAGCGCACGUAGGCGGUCUUUUAAGUCGGGGGUGAAAUCCUGGAGCUCAACUCCAGAACUGCCUUCGAUACUGGAAGACUCGAGUCCGGGAGAGGUGAGUGGAACUGCGAGUGUAGAGGUGAAAUUCGUAGAUAUUCGCAAGAACACCAGUGGCGAAGGCG